rnacentral:rRNA from 1 species
AGGCUUAACACAUGCAAGUCGAGCGCCCCGCAAGGGGAGCGGCAGACGGGUGAGUAACGCGUGGGAACGUACCCUUUACUACGGAAUAACGCAGGGAAACUUGUGCUAAUACCGUAUGUGCCCUUCGGGGGAAAGAUUUAUCGGUAAAGGAUCGGCCCGCGUUGGAUUAGCUAGUUGGUGGGGUAAAGGCCUACCAAGGCGACGAUCCAUAGCUGGUCUGAGAGGAUGAUCAGCCACAUUGGGACUGAGACACGGCCCAAACUCCUACGGGAGGCAGCAGUGGGGAAUAUUGGACAAUGGGCGCAAGCCUGAUCCAGCCAUGCCGCGUGAGUGAUGAAGGCCCUAGGGUUGUAAAGCUCUUUCACCGGAGAAGAUAAUUGACGGUAUCCGGAGAAGAAGCCCCCGGCUAACUUCGUGCCAGCAGCCGCGGUAAUACGAAGGGGGCUAGCGUUGUUCGGAAUUACUGGGCGUAAAGCGCACGUAGCGGAUCGAUCA